UUAAUAUAUAAUUUUUAAUAUAAUAUUAAUUUUUAUAAAUAUAUUUUAUUAUAAUCUAAAAAAUUUAAACGGUACAAUUUAAAAAAAAUAUGAAAAAAUAUAAAUAAAAAUCUCCCUAUUAUACAACUUAAAAGGAAGUGUAAAGUGUUAUAUCUUUCCUUCUCCACAUAUACACGUGCUAUUUAUAGGCCCUAAUUCAUAUAGAACGAUGAAUCGGGUUCCAUGUUAUAAGCGUUCAUAAAAAAACUUAGCUUAGGCCACUUUAGAAUUAAAUUUGACAAAAAAACUUAUUAGGAAAAAGAGAAAGAGGAGGCUAAUCUGGUAAUUUGGUUCUGCACCUCCCCUCGCGAUGAGCUUCCAGCCCACUUGGCGGGAAACUUUGUCUCACAUUUUCCUUUUCUUAAUUUUCUUCUGUGAUACCCAUCUACACCUAUCAAUAUUAGGGUUUUGAUUCCACAUUUGCCGCUAGCAAACGCCGUUUUACCCGUCGAUUCUCCGAAACUGUGAAUGGUGCUCAGUGUUGAAAGAAAAUGGGUAAAGAGGAUAAUAAUAGUCCACAAUUUACAAGAAUGACAACUCGAACUCGAUCCUCUUCUUCAGCUCCUGCUACUACGGGCAAUGACAUUGGAAGAACUAAAAUAAGUGAAUCCUACACUCCUACUCUCAAUGAUCUUGUAUUUAGAGGUGAACGGAUUAAUUUUGGUGAUCUUCUAUCUAGUUUUCCUGCUAGAAAGGUUCAGAUUUCUGAAUUGUUGCGUCUUUUGGGUCCCUUGAAUUCUCCUAUGCUUCCAUUGUUUCUCUAUGGAGCUUCUUCUACUGGAAAAACUAGUAUUGUUCUCCAGAUCUUUAGGCAUCUUAAUCGCCCUUUUGUUUAUGUAAGCUGCCGGACUUGUUAUAGUCCUCGUAUUUUGUUUGAAUCCAUUUUAAAUCAGUUGCUGUUUCAUAGUAAGAAUUCAGCCAAUGGUUAUUCUAGUUCUAAACGCUGUGAAAAGCCAUCUGAUUUUGUUAAUUUUCUUCAUGAUGCUUUGGGUAGUAUCAUUGAUGAGCUCAAGGGGAAUUCUGGGAAACUUCCCUAUGGAAAUAUGCUUUAUUUGAUAUUUGACAAUUUGGAGCUUGUUCGCACUUGGGAUAAGAGUUCCACUAUGUUACCUUUCUUGUUUUGUCUUUAUGAUCUUCUGAAGAUGCCUGAAGUGGGUCUUAUAUAUAUUAGCAAUACAUCUCCUGAUACUUUUUAUUCCAAUUUGGGAUUCAUAGAACCUAUUCCUGUUUAUUUCCCCGAAUACACGGAAGAAGAUAUUCGCCAAAUUUUCUUGAGAAACCAAGAAAAUCGAAAGCUCUACUCCUGCUUUCUUGAUGUUGUACUCAAGCCAUUUUGCAGAACUACCAGACGCAUGGAUGAAUUGUCUACUGGUUUUACAUCAUUAUUUAGAAAAUAUUGUGAACCCUUACGUGAUUUGGAACAUGUACCUAAUGAAGAAAUGAAGAGAAGAUUGUUCAGUCGCUUUCAGCCACACAUUGCCUCUUCUUUGAAUGAAGUAUUCUCGGUUCCCUCUCAGACUUCCGUUGAAGUUGAAUCCAAUAAGGAGGAAAAACACAAAUGCAGGAAAAGAAAUCCAGAAGGUGAGGCAGAUUUUGCUGAGGUAGAUUUCCAUAUGUCUACUUCUGCAAAGUAUCUUCUUAUUUCAGCAUUUCUUGCUUCGAGAAACCCAGCUACACUUGAUGCAUCCCUAUUUGAUUCAACUGGGGGUUCAGAUAAUUGCAAACGUAAGAGAAAGGCUUCUGAAAAGUCAAUGGAGCAGAAGGAAGCUGCAGAACAGGAGUUACUUAUGAAAGGUCCUGGAACUUUCCCAUUGGAGAGGUUAUUAGCUAUAUAUCAAUGUAUAUCAUCUGCAGCAGAUGAUUUGCUUGAUGAAGAAGAACAUGGAAAUGAUGUACUGAGAGUUCAGGGUGGGGAUAGUGGACUGGUCUCUGAUGUUUUAAUGCAACUAGCAAGUCUUUGUAACGCUAAUUUUAUCAUUAAAGGAGGAAGCUGCCCUUUGGAAGGUUCAACUCGGUAUCGGUCUACAGUUUCUGAAGACUUGGCUCUGAAGGUAGCAAGGAGCCUGAGGUUUCCUCUGCCAAAUUACAUGUACAGAAGAUGAUGUUGGUGAUGUGAUCUGUCCUAAGAAGUUUGAGAGGUGAUGUGAUUUUCUGGCCUACACUUUCAUUCAGCCCCUAUUUUGAUGUAAUUUUUGUAUUAUUCAGUUCAUCAAACAUGACAUAUGUAGUCCAUGAAAUCGGCGUAGUCCAUGAAAUCAGCGGUCGGAAGAGUCUAGUUUAGAAAAGCUAAUUAUCUGACCUGAACAAGACCUGAACAAGUUUAUGUGGAGUCUGAUGACAUACUCUCAAUCUUUGUUUUUAGUGAUGUCCCUGUGAGUCAUUUUCUACAUUAUUUUUGGGGGAGGCAAGAGUCCGGAAAAGGAAGGGGAGGGUUACAUGACUAUAUCUAACCAUCUCGUGACCCCUCUUAGCUCACUGCAUCUCUAAAUUUACUCGAAAAUCAAUUACCAUUGGUAUUCAGUUUGUAUAGUUAAAUCUCCAAGUAAUUUCUACUUCUUCACCAGCUUGCAAAUUAUCAUCCACACAUUUAUGUAAUAUGGUUGUCGACAAUUUUAUUGAUCUCAAAGCCUUUUGGUUAGAAAGAUUAGACAUCCAAGCAACUGAAUAAAUUCAUAGGAAACAAAAGAAAUAUAGAAAGAAAGAAAGAAAAGAAAAAGGCGAAUUAAUUGGUUCUCUUAGAUGACUAAGGAAGGAAUGAAUUAUUUUGGAGCUGACAGCAACAUCUCAAAAUUCUUUUGAAGGUACACUGUCUGAAUCAUAAUAACCACACCAAAACUAGACUAAGCCUUAUUUUUGGAGAAAGGAAUUUAUUAUUAUUUUUAGACUAGUGAAGUACUAAUCCUCAAUCUUUUCUGAGAAUGAAAAUAGAGGGUUCUGUUUGUAUUAAUAGAGAUAACGAGUUUUUGACCAUCCUUAUCGUGUUAACAUCUUAAACUGAUGCAAAAACCUAAAACCCUUGUCGUAUGUUUCCUUAAAAAGCUUUUCUCAUGCUACAGUUUUCUUUAAUAUUUUCUAUUAAUAUGCUGAUUGAUUCUAUUUAACUCCCACACAGUAUCCUAUCAACCUUCCACCUCUCCACAGUAUAUUUAUCAGAAAGGAGAAGGCUUGGCCUUUUUAUUUUGUUCUUUAAAUAGUUUUCCAAAUAGACAAGGAUAUUGAGAAUAGACCUUUCAACACGAAGUUAUUGCAUUUUGAGUAAUUGAGAGUCAGUGGUUUCAUAUACUCCCAACUGCUUUUGUUUCUUUUGGUUGAUUCUUAAGAUGGUGAAAACAUGGUUCUGAACUUUGUGCAUCGUCUGAAGAGUAGAAAAUGUCAACCCCGGAUUAUCGAAUUCCAAUAUCUCAUAUUUAUUGAGACCCAAGUCAACUUCAUGAUCCUCUUACACACUAACCUAUAUACGGUUGACUUCCACAUCUUAAAAUGUCCCCCUUCCUGUUUUCCAUAG